rnacentral:rRNA from 1 species
AUUGAACGCUGGCGGCAGGCCUAACACAUGCAAGUCGAACGAGUGGCGGACGGGUGAGUAAUGUCUGGGAAACUGCCCGAUGGAGGGGGAUAACUACUGGAAACGGUAGCUAAUACCGCAUACCAUCGGAUGUGCCCAGAUGGGAUUAGCUAGUCGGUGGGGUAUCGGCGCACCGAGGCGACGAUCCCUACCUGGUCUGAGAGGAUGACCAGCCACCCUGGAACUGAGACACGGUCCAGACUCCUACGGGGGGCAGCAGUGGGGGAUAUUGCACAAUGGGCGCCAGCCUGAUGCAGCAAUGCCGCGUGUAUGAUGAAGGCCUUCGGGUUUUAAAGUACUUUCAGCGAGGAGGCGUUACUCGCAGAAGAAGCACCGGCUAACUCCGUGCCAGCCGCCGCGGUAAUAC